GACGAACGCUGGCGGCGUGCCUAACACAUGCAAGUCGAACGGAACUUGAAGCUUCGGUUUUAAGUUUAGUGGCGAACGGGUGAGUAACGCGUGAGGAACCUGCCUUUCAGUGGGGGACAACAGUUGGAAACGACUGCUAAUACCGCAUGAUACUAUCGGGCCGCAUGGUCUGGUAGUCAAAGAUUUAUUGCUGAAAGAUGGCCUCGCGUCUGAUUAGCUAGUUGGUGGGGUAACGGCCCACCAAGGCGACGAUCAGUAGCCGGACUGAGAGGUUGACCGGCCACAUUGGGACUGAGAUACGGCCCAGACUCCUACGGGAGGCAGCAGUGGGGAAUAUUGGGCAAUGGGCGAAAGCCUGACCCAGCAACGCCGCGUGAAGGAAGAAGGCCUUCGGGUUGUAAACUUCUUUUACCAGGGACGAACACAAUGACGGUACCUGGAGAAAAAGCAACGGCUAGCUACGUGCCAGCAGCCGCGGUAAGAC
rnacentral:rRNA from 1 species